GCCGGGAUGGCGGAACUGGUAGACGCAAGGGACUUAAAAUCCCUCGGUAGUAAUACUGUACGGGUUCGACUCCCGUUCCCGGUACCA
rnacentral:tRNA from 1 species